UGGGGAAUAUUGCACAAUGGAGGGAACUCUGAUGCAGCGACGCCGCGUGAACGAAGAAGGCUUUCGAGUCGUAAAGUUCUUUCAUAUGGGAAGAUAAUGACGGUACCAUAAGAAAAAGCCCCGGCUAACUACGUGCCAGCAGCCGCGGUAAUACGUAGGGGGCUAGCGUUGUCCGGAAUCACUGGGCGUAAAGGGUUCGCAGGCGGAAAUGCAAGUCAGGUGUAAAAGGCAGUAGCUUAACUACUGUAAGCAUUUGAAACUGCAUAUCUUGAGAAGAGUAGAGGUAAGUGGAAUUUUUAGUGUAGCGGUGAAAUGCGUAGAUAUUAAAAAGAAUACCAGUGGCGAAGGCGACUUACUGGGCUCAUUCUGACGCUGAGGAACGAAAGCGUGGGUAGCAAACAGG
rnacentral:rRNA from 1 species